rnacentral:rRNA from 1 species
GAUGAACGCUGGCGGCGUGCCUAAUACAUGCAAGUCGAGCGAACAGACGAGGAGCUUGCUCCUCUGACGUUAGCGGCGGACGGGUGAGUAACACGUGGAUAACCUACCUAUAAGACUGGAGAAUUUUGGGGAACCGGAGCUAAUACCGGAUAAUAUUAUUAACCCCAAGGGUCAAAAGUUUAAGUCGGUUUUGGUGGCAACUAUAGGUGGAAUCCCGUCGCAUUAGCUAGGUGGUAAGGUUACGGCUUACCAAGGCCACGAAGGGUAACCGACCUUAGAGGGUGAGCGCCCACGCUGGAACUGAGACGCGAUCCAGCAUCCUACGGCAGGCAGCCGUAGGGAAUCUUCCGCAAUGGGCGAAAGCCUGACGGAGCAACACCGCGUGAGUGAUGAAGGUCUUCGGAUCGUAAAACUCUGUUAUUAGGGAAGAACAAAUGUGUAAGUAACUAUGCACGUCUUGACGGUACCUAAUCAGAAAGCCACGGCUAACUACGUG